rnacentral:rRNA from 1 species
GUGAGGAAUAUUGGACAAUGGGCGCAAGCCUGAUCCAGCCAUGCCGCGUGCAGGAAGACGCAUCUAUGGUGUGUAAACUGCUUUUGUACGGGAAGAAACACUCCCUCGUGAGGGAGCUUGACGGUACCGUAAGAAUAAGGAUCGGCUAACUCCGUGCCAGCAGCCGCGGUAAUACGGAGGAUCCAAGCGUUAUCCGGAAUCAUUGGGUUUAAAGGGUCCGUAGGCGGUUUAAUAAGUCAGUGGUGAAAGCCAAUCGCUCAACGAUGGAACGGCCAUUGAUACUGUUAGACUUGAAUUACAAGGAAGUAACUAGAAUAUGUAGUGUAGCGGUGAAAUGCUUAGAUAUUACAUGGAAUACCAAUUGCGAAGGCAGGUUACUACUUGUGGAUUGACGCUGAUGGACGAAAGCGUGGGGAGCGAACAGGAUUAGAAACCUUGUAGUCC